rnacentral:other from 1 species
CACAUCAGAUUUCCUGGUGUAACGAAUUUUCAAGUGCUUCUUGCAAUCGCAAGUUUUAACCCGGCCUCCCCAGGCCGGGUUUU